AAGGCCGUCAUCACGAGCAUCAUCAACACAUCAUCAACAGGAGGAAGCAAGAGUAGAUUAAAGUCACAAGGAUGCCAAUGUCAGCCUCAUUUGACUUCUGGUUUUGAAGAGAGAUGAUGGAGGAACAUAUUGGGCAGAACCUGUUCAAACUGAAGGAAGCAAGCUUGAAGUGCUGCCCACACACCCAGACUCCUCAACUCCACAUUCCCUGAAGACCACAGGAAAUACAGCAAAGUGGCCCAAUCAUUCCCAUUGCAUGCUUCAUUCAAAGGACAUCUUUCCAUUCUCACAGUGAGACCUCUCAUUCUCUGGACGCUUGGAAGGGCCGAUGACACACAGGUCACCCUACAGCCCGGCGGUCCCUUGUUCCCCAGAAGAUGGCUCUAUCACCACAAGGCCAUGCUCUUAGACACGGGAAGGCUCAACAGGGCCCUGCGAUGGGCACUGGGGCCUGACAAAAUGCCCUGGCUGGCAGAAGUUCUGCUACAGCCCAACAGUGAUGCCCGCAUCUUCCUGCUGGGUCUCUGCAGUCUGGUGCUCUCUGAAGUGCUUCUACUCUUUCCCACUCAUCAGCUGUAUAUGUGUUUGGUGACCUUUGCAUAAACGAGAUGAAUAAAGUGUUGUCGCUUUACAAGAAGGGACUUAAGGAGGCUCGGACUCCCUCCUUUGCAGUUCUAGCUAGAAAGCUACUCUGAGAUGUUGCUUUCCUGUCGUUGACCGGCAGCCACAACCAGGCAAGGGCCAAAGCAGUUCUUGUAGUGCUGCCACCAACUUGCUCAAGCAUUUGUGCCACCAAGGAACGCCGGCUGUAAAGUGUUCUGCCCUCCCCACAGAGACAAGGUUCUCCUGAGAAGACUGAGGCCAGGAGGCCGCUGAGCACCUCCUAGCUCCAGCCCUUCGAGCCCAGGGCAGCCUCUGAGCAGGACAAGAACAGCAUCCAGAGUGAGUGCCCAAAUCACGGCUUCAAUGAACCAAGGGUUUGGGAGGCCCCAGAGGAAGGAGCAGAUGAAGCUGGUUCUUCCAUCCCCAAUUUCUAAUUGAAAAGAAUCUGAAGUGAUUAAAAGGAAAAUGAUGGCAACUUCAAA